rnacentral:snRNA from 1 species
UGAUGCAAGGGAGAUUUGGCAGGAGGGCAUCCCCUUACUCCCUCACUGCUCUGUGUGCAUCUCCCCAAAGCUGUGCUCUCAGUUAAGAAGACAGCCUCCCCAGUAGAGGAGGACCAUUCUUUGGUCAAAGGUAAAACAACA